GAGGUCUAGAGUGAAAAGAAGGUGGAGCUUGGCCACCUGAGGGUUUUUAGUUAUCCAGCCUAUGCACAUGUGGAGGCAACUGAAAAGAAGCAAGUUGGACCCAAAGUCUCAGAAGAUGACAUUCAUCAGGUAUCCAUAGAGAUUCAAAGGGUAUCUAUUGUAGGAUUCUCAGGCACAGAGGUCGGUGAUCAGUAGGGAUGUCAUUUUUGAUGAGAAGAGCAUCUUGGAG
rnacentral:lncRNA from 1 species